GAUGAAGAACGCAGCGAAAUGCGAUAAGUAAUGCGAAUUGCAGAAUCCGUGAGUCAUCGAAUCUUUGAACGCACAUUGCGCCCGUCAGUAUUCUGGCGGGCAUGCCUGUUCGAGCGUCAUUACGCCCCUCAAGUCCCCUGUGGACUUGGUGUUGGGGAUCGGCGAGGCUGGUUUUCCAGCACAGCCGUCCCUUAAAUUAAUUGGCGGUCUCGCCGUGGCCCUCCUCUGCGCAGUAGUAAAACACUCGCAACAGGAGCCCGGCGCGGUCCACUGCCGUAAAACCCCCCAACUUUUUAUAGUUGACCUCGAAUCAGGUAGGACUACCCGCUGAACUUAAGCAUAUCAAUAAGCGGAGGA
rnacentral:misc_RNA from 1 species